UACGUAGGGUGCGAGCGUUGUCCGGAAUUACUGGGCGUAAAGAGCUCGUAGGUGGUUUGUCGCGUUGUCCGUGAAAACUCACAGCUUAACUGUGGGCGUGCGGGCGAUACGGGCAGACUGGAGUACUGCAGGGGAGACUGGAAUUCCUGGUGUAGCGGUGGAAUGCGCAGAUAUCAGGAGGAACACCGGUGGCGAAGGCGGGUCUCUGGGCAGUAACUGACGCUGAGGCGCGAAAGCGUGGGGAGCGAACAGG
rnacentral:rRNA from 1 species